UCUACUAGUUGUCGGGUCUUAAUUGACUUGGUAACGCAGCUAACGCGUGAAGUAGACCGCCUGGGGAGUACGGUCGCAAGAUUAAAACUCAAAGGAAUUGACGGGGACCCGCACAAGCGGUGGAUGAUGUGGAUUAAUUCGAUGCAACGCGAAAAACCUUACCUACCCUUGACAUGUCAGGAAUCCUCGAGAGAUUGAGGAGUGCUCGAAAGAGAGCCUGAACACAGGUGCUGCAUGGCUGUCGUCAGCUCGUGUCGUGAGAUGUUGGGUUAAGUCCCGCAACGAGCGCAACCCUUGUCAUUAGUUGCUACAUUCAGUUGAGCACUCUAAUGAGACUGCCGGUGACAAACCGGAGGAAGGUGGGGAUGACGUCAAGUCCUCAUGGCCCUUAUGGGUAGGGCUUCACACGUCAUACAAUGGUACAUACAGAGGGCCGCCAACCCGCGAGGGGGAGCUAAUCCCAGAAAGUGUAUCGUAGUCCGGAUCGCAGUCUGCAACUCGACUGCGUGAAGUUGGAAUCGCUAGUAAUCGCGGAUCAGCAUGUCGCGGUGAAUACGUUCCCGGGUCUUGUACACACCGCCCGUCACACCAUGGGAGCGGGUUUUACCAGAAGUAGGUAGCUAACCGCAAGGAGGGCGCUUACCACGGUAGGA
rnacentral:rRNA from 1 species